rnacentral:rRNA from 1 species
UACACACGGAUAACAUACCGAAAGGUAUGCUAAUACGGGAUAAUAUAUUUGAGAGGCAUCUCUUAAAUAUCAAAGGUGAGCCAGUACAGGAUGGACCCGCGUCUGAUUAGCUAGUUGGUAAGGUAACGGCUUACCAAGGCGACGAUCAGUAGCCGACCUGAGAGGGUGAUCGGCCACAUUGGAACUGAGACACGGUCCAAACUCCUACGGGAGGCAGCAGUGGGGAAUAUUGCACAAUGGGCGAAAGCCUGAUGCAGCAACGCCGCGUGAGUGAUGAAGGCCUUCGGGUCGUAAAACUCUGUCCUCAAGGAAGAUAAUGACGGUACUUGAGGAGGAAGCCCCGGCUAACUACGUGCCAGCAGCCGCGGUAAUACGUAGGGGGCUAGCGUUAUCCGGAUUUACUGGGCGUAAAGGGUGCGUAGGCGGUCUUUCAAGUCAGGAGUGAAAGGCUACGGCUCAACCGUAGUAAGCUCUUGAAACUGGGAGACUUGAGUGCAGGAGAGGAGAGUGGAAUUCCUAGUGUAGCGGUGAAAUGCGUAGAUAUUAGGAGGAACACCAGUUGCGAAGGCGGCCCUCUGGACUGUAACUGACGCUGAGGCACGAAAGCGUGGGGAGCAAACAGGAUUAGAUACCCUGGUAGUCCACGCUGUAAACGAUGAAUACUAGGUGUCGGGGGUUACCCCCUUCGGUGCCGCAGC